GUGCUGGCUUUGUUAGCACAUGUACUAAAAUUAGACUAAUACAGAGAAGAUUAACACGGUCCCAGCACACAGAUUACACAAAAAUUCAUAAAGAACUCCAUGGUUUU